GAUGAACGCUGGCGGCGUGCCUAAUACAUGCAAGUCGAGCGAACAGACGAGGAGCUGGCUCCUCUGACGUUAGCGGCGGACGGGUGAGUAACACGUGGAUAACCUACCUAUAAGACUGGGAUAACUUCGGGAAACCGGAGCUAAUACCGGAUAAUAUAUUGAAUCGCAUGGUUCAAUAGUGAAAGACGGUUUUGCUGUCACUUAUAGAUGGAUCCGCGCCGCAUUAGCUAGUUGGUAAGGUAACGGCUUACCAAGGCAACGAUGCGUAGCCGACCUGAGAGGGUGAUCGGCCACACUGGAACUGAGACACGGUCCAGACUCCUACGGGAGGCAGCAGUAGGGAAUCUUCCGCAAUGGGCGAAAGCCUGACGGAGCAACGCCGCGUGAGUGAUGAAGGUCUUCGGAUCGUAAAACUCUGUUAUUAGGGAAGAACAAAUGUGUAAGUAACUAUGCACGUCUUGACGGUACCUAAUCAGAAAGCCACGGCUAACUACGUG
rnacentral:rRNA from 1 species